rnacentral:rRNA from 1 species
AGCGAACGCUGGCGGCAGGCCUAACACAUGCAAGUCGAACGGAUCCUUCGGGAUUAGUGGCGGACGGGUGAGUAACACGUGGGAACGUGCCCUUUGGUUCGGAACAACUCAGGGAAACUUGAGCUAAUACCGGAUGUGCCCUUCGGGGGAAAGAUUUAUCGCCAUUGGAGCGGCCCGCGUCUGUUAGCUAGUUGGUGAGGUAAGGGCUCACCAAGGCGACGAUCAGUAGCUGGUCUGAGAGGAUGAUCAGCCACAUUGGGACUGAGACACGGCCCAAACUCCUACGGGAGGCAGCAGUGGGGAAUCUUGCGCAAUGGGCGAAAGCCUGACGCAGCCAUGCCGCGUGAAUGAUGAAGGUCUUAGGAUUGUAAAAUUCUUUCACCGGGGACGAUAAUGACGGUACCCGGAGAAGAAGCCCCGGCUAACUUCGUGCCAGCCGCCGCGGUAA